GCGGCCCCGCGGGUAGCGGGUCGGGGGUAGAGAGAAUGGCGGUGUGUGGGCGGCGGGCGUGGGUUCGCGCUGACUUCUGCUCGGCCCUUGACCAUUUCUCGGGCUGGGCCGCAGCGCUGUCCAAUCUCCUGGCUGCUCCAGGGGCCCGUUCCUCUCUCCGAACACAGCCUUGGUCUUCCUGGCGCCCGCAGCGCCGGCGUGUGAAGCGAGGGCGGGGAGCACAUCCGAACGCCGGAGGAGCGGCCGCGUCUCAUGGGUGUCUUUACUGAACAGCACGUUUCAGCGUCAGAGCGUCCUGGGAAUGCUCACUGGGUGAUUCUGCAGCACGGGCGUGGGAAACGGGGGGCGGCGCAGCCCCCGAACCUCGGGGAGUGUGCCCCUGCAGCGGCCGGGACCCACGUUUUGCACUCUCCCGCAAAACCUGCAGUUCCCGGGAUUUUGCUGCCUCACUAGGAGGUACCUAGUGAGGUAACAAACUACCUUGUCUUGUGACGGCCCAAAGGUCCGAAGAUGGAAACGCCGCUGCAGGCGAAAGAUAGAGCAAGCUAACAAGCCAGCCGGGUGCUCUCAGGCACAUAGAUAGAUUGCCUUCACACUGCUGCAGAAUCUUUUUGGAAGACAUCCAACUUUCUCCUCGGCUUUCUGCCGGCGCUGCACACUGCCCUCCCUGGACAUCCGUUCCUUUGGCCACCAGCGCUCUUCUGGUUCUGAGAAGGUCACAGGUGCAGUUCCAAGGGUUUCCAUCUAAAUACAGAUGACGAAGACGGGGUAAAUACUCCAAGACUUUGCGAUCCAAGGCAGAUAUCUUGUUAUUCCGUAAAUUUAAAACCUGAAGCUGUUUUAAGUCCUUCAGCUCUUGUUCUCCAACAUCCUCUAUGCCAUUUCCUUUUAGAUCCAAUCUGGCAAGGGUGUCUGGAAGUCUGAAUAAAAAUAAAACAACACAAAGAUGUUA